UUGUGUAAAUACACUUUAUGAUAGACUGGAAAAUUUUUAAGCAUUUGUAAACAGUUGUAAGGUGUGUUGCUAACAUUCUUUUUGGUUCGCAACUACUCUCUGACCCAAACAGUGUACC